rnacentral:lncRNA from 1 species
UGAUGGCUUGGUUCCCUCCUAGGUGGCUUGGCGUCUCCUUUGCUGACUAUACGGAUGGAUGGCUUAAAACCAAGAAAAAUCUCUUUUGUCUUUUUUAAAAUCUCUUUUUCCAAACCAUUCCAGGCCUCGGGAUUUGGAAUUUGCACCCCUCCCACCCCGUUUCUCCCCCUUGGCAUGGUGGCCCCCCCCCCCAGCAUUGGAGAGGAGGGGUCUUCGCCCUCUCUUCCUUCUCCCGAGUCCAAAAUACCUCAAGAGCAGCUGGUGCUUUGGGGGGAGGGGAGGUAAAAAAAACCCAGAGGAGCCCCUGAUUUUACAAGCAACAAAUGCGUUGCUUGUAAAACCCAGUUUUGGGGGGUCCUGGGCGAGGGGCUUCCCCGCCUGGUCAGAUGGGGGCAGGAGACCGAAGUCGGUCUUUCCAAAUGGGCCUCUUGAUGGGUCCCCGUUGGGGGGUCCCAGUUGGGAUCAGGAUGAUAAUCAUGUUGUUUGUCUGCUACCGAGGUUUCUAGCACCGGUUCCCUCCACCCCUUCACUUCCUCCCACCCCCCAAGACCCCCCCAAAUUCCCCCCCCCCCCCCCCCCCCAGCAUUCCUCUCCCGAUUUAACCAGAGUCCGAAGCCACGUUCCCAUCCAGGAGCUGCCAGAUCCGCCCUUUGGGAAAUGCUUGAAGUCCAGCACGGCGUUCUGCUCCGAACCCUUGAGACUGUGGCCACGGGUUCAAGAGAGGCGCAUUUCCGUGCUUCAGGCCUGGCAUCUAGAAAACGACUCUCUUUGUUUUGGGGUCUUCAGGCGCUUGUUUCCUCUUGGGGCAGGGUGCUCUCUCUCUCGAUUGGUGUUUUAUUUUAGUUCCCGGGUUUGGUUUGGUCUAUUAUUAUGAUUAUUUUUGAGUUGUCACUAAUGCAGACUAACGAAGUGCGUGUCCUUUGAACCAACCGUGUAACAUAUACUGAAAAAAACAAAACGAAUGAAAGCAAAAAGAGGUUGAGUGACUGGUGCUAACUGAUUAUUUCCCGAAAGAGCAGAAGGGGCCUCGGCUGCUUGGUUUAAAAAG